rnacentral:ncRNA from 1 species
AUUUAUAAGAAUAUGAUGUUGGUUCAGAUUAAGCGCUAAAUAAGGACAUGACACAUGCGAAUCAUACGUUUAUUAUUGAUAAGAUAAUAAAUAUGUGGUGUAAACGUGAGUAAUUUUAUUAGGAAUUAAUGAACUAUAGAAUAAGCUAAAUACUUAAUAUAUUAUUAUAUAAAAAUAAUUUAUAUAAUAAAAAGGAUAUAUAUAUAAUAUAUAUUUAUCUAUAGUCAAGCCAAUAAUGGUUUAGGUAGUAGGUUUAUUAAGAGUUAAACCUAGCCAACGAUCCAUAAUCGAUAAUGAAAGUUAGAACGAUCACGUUGACUCUGAAAUAUAGUCAAUAUCUAUAAGAUACAGCAGUGAGGAAUAUUGGACAAUGAUCGAAAGAUUGAUCCAGUUACUUAUUAGGAUGAUAUAUAAAAAUAUUUUAUUUUAUUUAUAAAUAUUAAAUAUUUAUAAUAAUAAUAAUAAUAAUAUAUAUAUAUAAAUUGAUUAAAAAUAAAAUCCAUAAAUAAUUAAAAUAAUGAUAUUAAUUACCAUAUAUAUUUUUUAUAUGGAUAUAUAUAUUAAUAAUAAUAUUAAUUUUAUUAUUAAUUAAUAAUAUAUUUUAAUAGUCCUGACUAAUAUUUGUGCCAGCAGUCGCGGUAACACAAAGAGGGCGAGCGUUAAUCAUAAUGGUUUAAAGGAUCCGUAGAAUGAAUUAUAUAUUAUAAUUUAGAGUUAAUAAAAUAUAAUUAAAGAAUUAUAAUAGUAAAGAUGAAAUAAUAAUAAUAAUUAUAAGACUAAUAUAUGUGAAAAUAUUAAUUAAAUAUUAACUGACAUUGAGGGAUUAAAACUAGAGUAGCGAAACGGAUUCGAUACCCGUGUAGUUCUAGUAGUAAACUAUGAAUACAAUUAUUUAUAAUAUAUAUUAUAUAUAAAUAAUAAAUGAAAAUGAAAGUAUUCCACCUGAAGAGUACGUUAGCAAUAAUGAAACUCAAAACAAUAGACGGUUACAGACUUAAGCAGUGGAGCAUGUUAUUUAAUUCGAUAAUCCACGACUAACCUUACCAUAUUUUGAAUAUUAUAAUAAUUAUUAUAAUUAUUAUAUUACAGGCGUUACAUUGUUGUCUUUAGUUCGUGCUGCAAAGUUUUAGAUUAAGUUCAUAAACGAACAAAACUCCAUAUAUAUAAUUUUAAUUAUAUAUAAUUUUAUAUUAUUUAUUAAUAUAAAGAAAGGAAUUAAGACAAAUCAUAAUGAUCCUUAUAAUAUGGGUAAUAGACGUGCUAUAAUAAAAUGAUAAUAAAAUUAUAUAAAAUAUAUUUAAUUAUAUUUAAUUAAUAAUAUAAAACAUUUUAAUUUUUAAUAUAUUUUUUUAUUAUAUAUUAAUAUGAAUUAUAAUCUGAAAUUCGAUUAUAUGAAAAAAGAAUUGCUAGUAAUACGUAAAUUAGUAUGUUACGGUGAAUAUUCUAACUGUUUCGCACUAAUCACUCAUCACGCGUUGAAACAUAUUAUUAUCUUAUUAUUUAUAUAAUAUUUUUUAAUAAAUAUUAAUAAUUAUUAAUUUAUAUUUAUUUAUAUCAGAAAUAAUAUGAAUUAAUGCGAAGUUGAAAUACAGUUACCGUAGGGGAACCUGCGGUGGGCUUAUAAAUAUC